GGUUAGUCUCUAAGGUGCCACAAGUACUCCUUUUCUUUUUGCGAAUACAGACUAACACGGCUGUUCCUCUGAAACCGUUCUUUAAAAGGGAUGUCCAUCAGUGAACUCAAACCUACAACACCAUGUGCAAAUAUUAAAUAGUCCUACCAAUACUUCUAAUCGAAAGUUUGUGGUUUAUAUCUAAGAAUACAAAAAUCUCUUAGAAAUAAUCUGCAUUCUGCUCAGAGCACUGAAUGGUUAUAAUGUGCCAUCAAACAGUAGAAAUGCAGUGUUAUUUAUUAGUAUCAUUCUUGUGAAAGAUCCUGGACUGCCAGCCCUAUAAAGUGAAGUCCCAUGUGUCUGCAGAACAGAUACACGGUGCAGCUGCAGUUUAAGUCUUGUCAAAGUGCUUUAACCCCAGUUUAGGUGGGACUGCCACCUGUAGGGCUAAGAGUGUAGUACAGUCUCUAUGCGUAUUCAUUUUUAGUUUCUAUGCUCAGACUGCCAGUUAGGAGACUAUUAGUGCCAAAGAUGAUGGGUUUUUUUUUUUUCUGAUAUGGAUACCUUUCCAUUAGAAAUUGAGUUGAGAUCACCGCACAGAUAAGCAAAUUCUUUUGAAGUAGGUCACCAACACUGCACCAGGUGGUAACUAGUCUGGCCCACACACUUUAUGUCAAUUGCUAAAAAGCUUUGUAGACCAUCACCAAUGUCUCAGAUGAUCUAGUUCCCCCCGGGAAUAAAGUUCUCUUGUAAUGUUUGUCUGUUUCAUUAGAGGGGCUUAAGGGCCUGUGCAGAUAUCCAUUUAUAGUAAUUUUGGCAACUUUUAUAUAAGGGAAAUUUAUUUUCCAUUAUGCUUGGCUAGUUGUAACAGUGUAGUUUAAAAAACAAACAAACCAGUAUACGUCCAUGUACUUUUAAGAAUAGAUUACUUAACAGUUAGUGAAGGUAUUCAGCAGCCAAGGCAAAAGCAUUAUUUUAAAGCCUGAACUUAGUAGCAAAUAGACAGUUGUUUAGUAAAUGACUUGGGCGGGGGGGGGGGAGUACAAUGCAUUUGCCGCUGUGAUACAUUGUAAAUUAUUUAGGUAUAUGUUACUGUGCAGUAGCUGCCUAUCACAUACUUAGAAAUAUGUUAGCUCUUUAUAAUUCAUUGUUGGACAACUUUUAAAAUCAGUUGCUUUUUAGAAGAACAUAAACCACAGAAAUUCUUUAUUUAUCAACCAGGACCUGGCUAAAGAAAGACACAAACAUGAAUCAGGGUUUUGGGAUUGGGUCACAUUUAGAAAUUGGAACCUUUCCAGCCUGAUCUUGAAUGAGUAAUGUAAUAAUCAUUGUAGUAAAUGCUAGUUAGACAGGCUUUAGCCAUUAAAAACAGAAAGAUCACUAAGCAUGAAAAACCAUAAUGCACAGUUUGCUCUUGUUUAAACAUUUGCGUGGAACAAACUUUCCUGGCGUCUGUCUGAUGUCUUAGGUUUCACAGUGAUAUCUUAAUUAAUCAUGCCAAUACCUGUUUGGCAACAAAGUUAGAUCUCCCCUUUCUUCCAAUCAUGGGCUUAACAAUAUACACCUAACAUAGAUUCUGAUCCCUGAGUCUUAAUGGCGUUUGUGUGCAAAAUUCCUCACUCUCAGCCAUUACAGGCUAUUACGCCUGGGGGAAUUCUGCGCACCCGCAGAGCACAGAAUUAAUCUCUCUCACAUAAUUUUAUAUUUUCCUGCAUAAAAACCAUUUUGCCAAAGAAGUGCUGCAGUUUCGCCAUGUGCCCACCAGAGGCCGCUGUGGUGCCAGAACAGCCAGUUGCGCGUUCGUGCCGACUGGUCUAGCGCCACAGCGCCCUCUGGUGGGAGAAAGGGGGACCUGCGGCACUUCCUAGGCAAAAUGUAUGUUGCUAGGGAAAAUACAAAAUUCUGUGCCCAGUGCUGCAGAUUUCCCCCAGGAGGAGAGCUCAUCACAGCACCCUGCCCGCGGAGCCAGGUGUGUGAGGGGAUACAGAACUGCCGGGCCUCACUCUACUCAUUUGCGGCCGUACGGUAUCACUGGCAAUGAGGCCAACUGAUCCCAGCGCACAUGGGAGUCGUCAUCCAGUGAAUGGUGCCAGCCGAUGCAGCAGGAGUGCUGUUCACUUGCGACCCAGUUCCUGGACAUCCCGGGAAGAUGGUUAUCAGUGCAAGCUGUGGACUUGGGGAGGGGCUGCUGGUUGUUCUGCAUCCAUUAUGGCAUCAAAACAAAUGUUACUGCAAGGAAAUCUGUCCCAAGCCUUGAAAAACAAAGUUAAAGAACAAAAUAUGAAGAAGCCUGAGGCUAAAUUUGUCUAGGUGGGGUGAUGUUUACCGUUGCUGAGAUGCGGGAACCCAAAGCGACUUUGCAUAGUCUUUAUUAAUGAAUGUCUGUAAUAUUUUCAGUGUACCUCGCUGCAAAAAAUUUAGGGACAACUGGUUUACUAAUAACCCAGGCCUAAAUGAUGUAUUGCAUUACAUGACAGGACAGCAGGUCACAGUGUGGAUAUAAGAGACUCUAGAGACCUCUUGUGGACAACACAGAUUUCUUUCUUCUUACACUAUAUGUCUGUGUAUUAAUGAAAUGCUGCAUCUCAUUUAUAAGAUCCUGUCUGAUUUUUUUUUUUACCUGUGUUCCAUAUGAAUUUGUGGGUCUCUGCUUUCCCAUGCUUUAUUUUUCCCUUUCAUGGCAUAUCGUUCAUCUUCUGAAUUGUCAUUGGCUGUGAUAAUUAUUUUAAUUUCUGGGCAAGUUAUGACUGUUUUAUUUCCCUUUUAACAAAAGAUGGCAUUUAAAGCAGAACUCCUUGGGUGCAGCUUUUUGUUCUGUCUUUAUAUGGCCCCUUGCACAAUGGGGUCAUGGUCCAUGACUAGGCCUCCAAGGCACUGGAAUGAUACACGUAAUUAAUAAGAAUCUCUCUCUCUCUGGUGUUCCAGGCGCUGUAAUUGCAAGGGAGCAUGGGCUGCCCUGUAUUAUGAAAUGUAAGGGUACAACCUCCUAUUU